rnacentral:rRNA from 1 species
CUCCGUAGGUGAACCUGCGGAGGGAUCAUUACACAACAAAAUAUGAAGGCCUGGCUUUCGCGGCCGGCUGAAGUAUUUUUUUCACCCAUGUCUUUUGCGCACUUGUUGUUUCCUGGGCGGGUUCGCCCGCCACCAGGACCAAACCAUAAACCUUUUUUUCUUAUGCAGUUUCCAUCAGCGUCAGUAAAAACAAUGUAAUUAUUACAACUUUCAACAACGGAUCUCUUGGUUCUGGCAUCGAUGAAGAACGCAGCGAAAUGCGAUACGUAGUGUGAAUUGCAGAAUUCAGUGAAUCAUCGAAUCUUUGAACGCACAUUGCGCCCUUUGGUAUUCCAAAGGGCAUGCCUGUUCGAGCGUCAUUUGUACCUUCAAGCUUUGCUUGGUGUUGGGCGUUUUUUUGUCUCCCUCUUUCUGGGAGACUCGCCUUAAAACGAUUGGCAGCCGGCCUACUGGUUUCGGAGCGCAGCACAUUUUUUGCGCUUUGUAUCAGGAGAAAAGGACGGUACUCCAUCAAGACUCUACAUUUUUCACUUUUGACCUCGGAUCAGGUAGGGAUACCCGCUGAACUUAAGCAUAUCAAUAAGCGG